AAUCUAAUAAAAAACUAUAUCUUCAUCUCUCUAAUUUUUGUGAAAAGAAGUCCAAAUAACAAAAUUUCAUUCCCAACAGCAAUCCCUCUUCUUUUUUUCUUUUACAUUUCACAUUUAUCAUCAACCAAAAAUCUUUUUCCUCCACUUGCUUUUGCUAGAAAAUUUUUUGCAAAUUAUAUCAGCAAAACAUAAGAAGGUGUUUAGACUCAAAUUUACGUUAUCAACCCGCACAAUCAAGGCCGCUGAAUGAGCAGGAUUUUAGACCGUUGAAAGAUAAAGUUGUGAAAUCCCGUCCCUGAUUUUUACUAUUGCAAACUAUGUAUGUGUAUUAAGGAGUUAUUAUAUUAUUUUUGGAAUUUAUAUUAAUUGUAGAGUGUUGAGAUUGUGUACUCAAAAGUUAUCAAGGUGAAAAAGCUACAAUUAAAGAGUUGCCCUUAAUUAAUUAAGGAGAAAAAAAAUUAAAGAAAAUGCCACCGGGGGGGGGGGGGGGUGGCUGAGAAAAGGAAGAAGAAGAAAAGGAAAGGAGGUGUGGGAGAGAAAGGAGGGAGGAGGGGGAUGAAUCAUGACACGCCCCGAUCCCGGUAUUCCCCGAAUAUUAUGAUAGGUACGUGCUGGUCGACACCCGAGGUGACGAAAGCUAUUUAUUGAAUACAAGAGUAAAGAUUAGAAGAAUAUAUAUAUAUAUAUAUAUAUAAUUAUCAAAAGGUCUAAAGGAAAUAAACAGUGCUUAAGAAAGUGGCUAGAGUGCACAUAGCAUGUUCUAAUUUGAGAUUUCAAAAGGAAAGACUAUUACAGAUAUCACACAAAGAAAAUGGAUGCAACUACUGGUAGGGGAAUGCCUCGUAUAUUGGGUCGUAGUCCUCGUCCCUAAGACCUGAAUGGGAGCGCAAAACAAUGGUGAGUGGACCAAGUUUAUAUAUAUACAUACUAUGAAAACAGUUAUAAACAUACUAACCCCCACCAUUAAGAUGAUGAAAACUACUAAAUAAUAAGUGAUAGGUUUCUCAAAACCUCUAGCAUGCCAUAAAAAUAAUUCAUAUAACUAUCUGCAAAUCAAACUCAUAAAUCAUAUCAAGAAGCAUAACACAAAUUGUGCUGCUAGUGAGUGCACCGAAUAAUAAUACUCCUGGGCCAAUGCCUGCACCUCAGUCUCUGUGCCCAUAGCCAAAGAUAUCUCCCUCCCGGCCCAAUGCCUUUCUCCGUGUCCCUCAGCCUUUCGCUAGGGAUUAUUUCUCCCGACCUCAAUGCUAACAUCAGAUCCUCGCCCCAGGCAGCAUAGUGUUCACUAGGUACGCACAAAACAUAAUUCAUCUCUAAAAUACAACUUCGUAGCAUAAAUUCAUCGAUCCUCUAUACUACGAAGAGGUGUUUGAAAGUCAUUUGAAACACAUUCUUAGCAUCAUAUCGUUAUCGAUCAGAUAGUCUACCAGAACGAGGGUUCUAUAGAAAAUACCAUAUGAAAAUAGUUCAAUAUAUAUAUAUAUAUAUAUAUAUAAUCAAUCAUAAUUAAAUCAUCAUGCUUCCUGUAAAGUAUUCCUCAAAUCAAUAAUUCUGCAAGGCAUGCUAUUAAAUUAUGCAAUUCUAUAAAUAAAACAUGCAAUUUUGAAGGUGGUCCACUCACAGAUACUCCAUAGCAGCAGAAUUAUGCGGAAAAAGAUUAAGGAAUUCCUCGCUAGCAAUUUCACCUAAACACAAGAGUGUACAAAUAAAUCAAACUACCCAAACGAUAUAAUUCCAAGAAAUGGAAAUGGGUCUUGGGUUUGGAUAGGUUAGGAACAAGAGGUGGUUUGGGUUUAAACCCCCUAUACUCACACACACACGGCACACACCACACACCACACACACCUGCACCACGUACAUACGUACUACACACACACAUGCACUACAACACACUCACAUGCAUGCACAGCACACAUGCGCACAUGCACUCACAUCAUAUACACAUACACACACACUGUGCUGCACACACACACACGGCACUGCACACAUACACUCACACGGACACACAUAUACACACAACAUACACUCACACAGCACACGCACACACCCACAACACAUAACACACACAUGCAACACACCACAUAUGGCACAGCACACACACACAACACACACUUACGACCCAUGCAGGGCACAGCCGUAAGCCAACUAAACAAAAAGGGAAAUGGGCUAAGCUAAGGCCCGAUGGUGAUUAAGAAGGCCGGAUGGCCUAGUGGCUUUGGGUGCAGAUCGGGGAAGAACACCAGAAAUUUUGAUCGGGAUUCCUCUCGAUUCCGAUUUGGACCUAAAACUAAGUAAAUAUAGGAAGUUAAAACAUAAAAAAAAUGACGCUGAGAGAGAAGGGAAAACAAGAUUAUACCUAGUUUAGAGCCACCCCAGCUGGACCGUGAAGAAGAGGUCGGAAAUUCGAUUUCGAAUUUCGUCAAAUUCUGGAAAUAAACACCUAAGGUAUGCAUGCAGAGAUUAGAAUCACAACUCAGGCUCAAAGGUCACCACAGAUAGACUACCACCAAGGGGACAAUUUAAACAUACCUGAGAUGGAAAUUUUGAGAGAGCUCAAGCUCUCGGGUUCACUGGUCACUGCAUUCGCAGUGCACCGAUGGUGCAUGCAAAGCUAUAGUUAGCUUCCUCAGGUUCCAGAGAUCCAAAAUAUGAGUAUAGAGUGUGCGAGUGCUAGGAAGAAAGAGAGAUGAAAGGGUUUUCAAAGUGAGAGCAAAGGUAGAGCUCUCGGAGCUUAGAGAAAGUUACGGAACUGGGUGCAGAAAAGAAUAAGGGAGAAGAUGGGUUCACAGGUUGGGUCAACCUUAGGCUUAAGAAAAUUAAAGAAAAUCUUGGGCCUUACAUUAAUUCACAAAGGAAUGAGCCUGGCCCAAUGUAAACUAGGUUAUUUUCAGGUAAGGGUUAUAACAAAUCAGAAGAGGGGAGAGGAAGUGACGAAUCAGGGAGGGAGAAAGAAGGGAAAGGAGGGAAGGAGAAAAUGAGGGGGAAAAUCGGUUUCCCCUUGACCCAUCGCGACCCUGUUUCGACCCGGUAUAAUUUCCGAUGAAAAUCGUCAAUUUUCCGACGAAUUGAGAUGAUUUACCACCACCAAUCAUCACUUCGUUACUCCUUCUUCAUCUUUCCACCUAAAAUCGAGCUAAUUUGGCCUUGUAUUCGUGAGAUAUGCACUGGUGGGUGGCGGGGUGGACAACGGCAAUUCCACCAUUUGUGAAGACAAAACCAUUGACUACCACCAUGGUUCAACUCCCCUUGAGGUCUGGAUGAAAGCCCAAACAAGUUUGGGGGCGGCGAAGCUAUGGAAUUGAAGGAUUGAGGCACACCCUUUUCUAGGGUUUCCGACGGAUUUAAGUGAAAUUGGAGCUCUUUCCGGCCAAAUUGGACUUGGCCACAUGUAUAAAGUUUGCUCUAAUCAUUGAUAUCUUCAUUUCUGUAAUUUUUGGUAAUUUUUAAAAAUAGUUGAAUUUUCCGGCAAAUUGGGGCGGCCGACCGCCACCCACGAUGGCGCGUGCAGCGGCAGCCUGGCCAGUGGGCCGACGAUGUCCUUUUAAGUUCAAAUAGAUUCCUUGAUUCCAUAAUUGAUAACCAUAUGACGUAAUUUGAUAGUUUGGACUUAGUUUCAUUACGAUACCUUACUUGGUCAAAAUAUGAAUCAACGAUCCGACCGUUGGAUCGUCAUCAAACCGUAAUGUGCGAUAGAAAAUAAUAUUUAUGGAUCAUAGAAACUUAUGGAUCUAGAAUCCGACGUACGGAUCUUCCCUAAUUAGAUUUCUAAGUUUGUAAAAUUAAUUGUUAACCGCCACCUAAUUCUAGCAAUUGGUGGAGAUCCGAUUGUUGGAUUGCGAUGAGAAUUUAGUAUAUGGUUCUAUGAGCAUAAUGUGGACUUUGGGAGGUUAUAGAUCGGAAAUCCGAUAUACGAAUCUUCCGGAUUGAAUUUCGCAGGGUUGUGGACCUUACCGUUGCUCGAAAGUUGACUUGUGGUCAAUAUGUCUCGAAACGUUUUAAAUAUUAAAUCUAGUACCACGGGAUACUAAGUAAGUCUAGUGGGGUCACAUUGGUUAGAGAGUGACUGGAAUAUAUGUGAUGUAAUUACUACCUUAAUUUCUUAUAUUAAUAUCAUUUGUGAAUAUGAUUUGGGCUAUAAAUGACAUUUAUAUUGACGUGUGAAUUAUAUAUAUAUGCCAUAGACCUAUGUUUAUUAAAUGUAAAUUCUAUUGAAGUGUUAUUUUUAUUUCGGACUAUUGAUCUAUUUUCAUUAAGUAUGAUUUGACUUGUGCAUUGGAAAUAUUGUUUGUAUUGUAUGAUUGGAUUGAUGUAAUGAAAUGCGAGGGCUAAUAGUGAACCGUUAACCCAUUGUCAUGGGGUUUGUUGCUUCGAAACAUGUUUCAACCCUUGUGUCAUUAUUUUAUUCUCGUUUUGUUGAGUCUUUGUAACUUGAGUAACUUGAUUCAUGUCUUGGUUCAUUGAUUGGUGUUAUACAUUAUACUUCACGAUUCCGUUGAGUGAUGGUCCAGAAUCGUGUCCUGGUUUGGAUUCCGUUCAGUGAUGGUUCAGAAUCCCUUCUACUCCGUGAUUCCGUUGAGUGAUGGUCCAGAAUUGUAUCAUGGUUUGGAUUUCGUUGAGUGAUGGUCCGUAAUCCCUUCUACUUCGUGAUUCCGUUGAGUGAUGGUCCAGAAUCGUAUCCUGGGUUGAAUUUCGUUGAGUGAUGGUCUGGAAUCCCCUUUGUUGUCUUGGCUCCGUUGUAGUUCGAAAUCCCGUUCUUCCGAGAUUUAGGCUUCAGCCGAAUUGUGCCGCUCUAGCCCUACAUUUUGAUUAGUGGUAUGUGAUAUUGAUGAUGCGAUGGUUGGCAUUAUUGUUUGAGGUGAUUAUGGAAUGAUGUUGGCUAUGGUUAUUGUAAUUAUGAUUAGACUCGUUUACCAUAGUGACUAGUGAAUAUGAUUGUGCUCCGUCGUUUGCUCUUUGUAAUAUUGUAUGAUAUGCAUUGUGAUAUAUUGUUGAGAUAUAGCGAUCUAUGUGAUGAAUAUUCGAGUGUAGUGAAAUGACGAACUACGAAUGGCUUGAUCCCAAAUGUGGGUACGUAGGAAGGCUAACGAGGAGGUUAGAUGCAGUCAUAAAGUAUACAAAAAUUCUAACGCAAUUCGAGUAUUGAAUUAGGCUUUAUUCAUAUCCCGAAGACAGGGUAUGUUAGAUAUAUGGUUAUUUGAUGACGUCACGUGUCGAUCUUGGACGUACGUCGGGAUCGGGGCGUGACAAAAGUGGUUGAAAUGGUUUUUAAUUAUUAUUAAGAAAUGAUAUUGUGAUUUUAAUCAUGAUAUUAUCUCUUAGUAAUAUAUUAAAUUAUUUAAAAUUGAUAUUUAUCUAAAUCCCAAUUUGAAUGAUGAUGGGAUAUUCAGUAUCUGGCAGUGCAGCUAAUACUGGAUUAAUUUCAUGCAAUUAAUCCAUGCAUGGGAUAAAGGUGAAAGAUGGUGAUGUGAUGUGAUUAGGAUGGUUUUAUCUAGAUAAAAAAAAAGGAGUAGGCUUCAACCUAUGGACAUGAUGGAAAAACUAAUUAUCAGAAGAUAGUGACAUGGUAAUUUCUUGACCAUUGAUCACAUGAUAAUGGGAUAAGGAGUAGGCGUGUUUGGUCAGACAUGGUGUAUUUAAAUAUUAAAGAUUUGUGGCGUAAGGAGACUCAGGGAUUGCUUCAGUUUGGUAGUCGUGAUACAUCAGAAGACCAAGAGAUUAUUUUCUAGUAGCCGUGACACGUCAGGAGACUCAGAGAUUUACGGCUUAGCCAUCAGCGAGAGCAACAUUAUAAAUACAGAGGCACUGUGCAUCGUAAAACCCCUCCAGUUCAACACAUAAAUUGCCCUACGCAAACCUCUCAAACACCUUUGAGACUUUUAUUUUCUUUUUUCGCCGACAUCUUCAGUUUGGAUAAACAGCACUGUUGUCAUAGAAUCAGCAGACUGAGGAGAACCUUCAGUUUGGAUAAACAGCACUGCGUCAAGGCCGACUGGUUACCUAUUCAAGUCUCGGUCGAGAAGGGUUUUCGAAUCCUUAUUGGCAUAUGUCAUCUUAUUAGUCUUCUUGACGAAGUGAGGUGUUACAGAUUACUGGGCUCGGCACAUUGAACGUCAAGUUGUUUAUGAUUGGAUAUUCAUAAGUAAGUUUCAGAGUUCGGCAUUUUGACAGCUGAACCACAUUCACCAUCAAGACAUACAUCUUUUUUGAGUACUUGUGUCCAUAUAGUUUGGAGCCGGUUCGACAUGCUUAUACUCUUACGAAUAUAAUCACCAUAACCAAACUUCGCAAGACUAGCAGCCUUGUCUUCAGGCUCUAGAACCCAAAAGCCGAGACGUGUUCCUUCCUCGGCUACAAUCGCAAGAUCAAGAAGUCAGCAACGUACCCAACACAACAUCAACAAAUUUUACUCAUCGACCGAGCUUGGCCGUCGAUUUGGCACGCCUCGCACACAACCGAAUGACGUAGUUAGCUUACUAAUUACUCGACAUGUGCGCCACGUAGGCUUGGUAGUUUUUAGGUCAACAGAAGGUAUUUCUAUUCUUUUGUUGAUCAGGCGACACCCGAAUUUGAACUGGGGAAAAAGGAUUUGCAGCCCCCCACCUUACCACUUAUUUUAUAUAUUUUGACAUAUCAAACUCAGUACAGACAUAUAGGUACAUUAACUUAAUAUAACACAUUUUAGUACAUCCAUUUAUUCAU
rnacentral:lncRNA from 1 species